CUCAGGUUCAGGUUCUGGAAGAGAAAGUUGACCAGCCAUUGGGGCCAGAGCUCUUCCUUUGAUGAAUCAGCUCAGAUGGUGCUUCCCUCCUAUAGGGAACCCUAGAGGAUGUUGUACCUCGCAGGAAACCCGCUACACUGCCGGCCCUUAGAGAAGAAAUUGAAAAUCCAUGUGCAGCAAUCUCAGUGAGCAAGGUUACCCAAGGAGCAGUUGACCGUACUAAUAAAGGUCUGGA
rnacentral:lncRNA from 1 species